rnacentral:sRNA from 1 species
GGGAUUUAACGGACGUUAGAUGCAGAUGGUCAACGUUGAGGACAAAUGCUUGAACCUCAAAUGGCAGUUUUGAUUGAUGCGUUGACUAUCUGAUAGUUUACAUACGCAAUGAACCGUCGGAUCAUGAAGAUAGCUCAUCCUACGGUAAUUUCUUAAGCUAUUAGCGAAACUGCGAGAGGGAUAUUGAUUACCGGUGAAAACCAAAGUGUUGGGUUCAUCUUCGAUUUCCAAGAUCAUGGUCGCCUUAAUAAGCCUCUCCUUUGUCUC